AUUGAACGCUGGCGGCAUGCCUUACACAUGCAAGUCGGACGGCAGCGGGGGAGAAGCUUGCUUUUCCUGCCGGCGAGUGGCGAACGGGUGAGUAAUACAUCGGAACGUGCCCUGUAGUGGGGGAUCACUAGUCGAAAGAUUAGCUAAUACCGCACACGACCAGCGGGUGAAAGUGGGGGACGGCAUGGCCUCCUGCCAUAGGAGCGGGCGAUGUCUGAUUAGCUCGUUGGUGGGGUAAAGGCCUACCAAGGCGACCAUCAGUAUCUGGUCUGGGAGGGCGAUCAGCCCCACUGGGACUGAGACACAGCCCAGACUCCUACGGGAGGCAGCAGUGGAGAAUUUUGGACAAUGGGCGAAAGCCUGAUCCAGCAAUGCCGCGUGUGUGAAGAAGGCCUUCGGGUUGUAAAGCACUUUUGUCCGGAAAGAAAUGGCUCUGGUUAAUACCUGGGGUCGAUGACGGUACCGGAAGAAUAAGGACCGGCUAACUACGUGCCAGCCGCCGCUGUAA
rnacentral:rRNA from 1 species